UCUGAUUCUGAAAGCUCUGACUCUGAGAAGCCAGCUACUGAAGUGAAGAAUUAUGCGGUUGCUACUACACAAAAGAAAAACCAGGAAUUGGAUGGCUCUGAUAGUGAUUCUGAUGAUUCAUCAGAUGAGAAAACUGUUUGCAGGAUAUGGCCACUAAAAAACCAGUAGCGAAGAAAGUGUUAGAAUCCAGUGAAAGUUCUGAUUCUGACUCUGAGGAGGACACCACUGCUAAACCAGUUCAAUCUUCCAAG